ensembl:lncRNA
CAUGCACUCACUAUGCUGACUGUGUGAAUGAAUCUUGCAAGAAUUGUAAUAUUCCAUCAUUGAUGGUCUUCAGCUGCUCAGUGCCCGCCUUUCAUUGUUCAUGGUUUUUGUUCACAUGCUCACCUUCUUGGCCUCCUCUUCAGUUUCAAUCACAUCACAUCUGUGUGUUUACAAUGUUAAAUAUUUAAUACCAAACUAAACUAAUCAAAAAUCACCACAUUACCAUGUUUCCAUGACUAGGAUCAAACCAAAAUUAUAGAGUAUUUUCAAACCUGUAAAAUGUUGUUGCUCAGUGUUCAUUUUCUUGGUGAUCACACAUUGUGAAAUUCUACAGAAAAGGGAAACUGAACUUGUUUUUUGUCACAUGGACUGUCAUAGACGGAGUUAAUCCCAAGAACUCCAAUGGCUACCAUCAGAAUAGCAGUCAGCAAAUAAAUGAAAAGUGUUGAGGCACACUUUUUAAACAAAAAACACUGUAAUAUUUCAUCACAAGUAACACAAUGGUUUAUAAAACACGAUUUUAUAACCUUGAAAUAUAUUACAGUUGUUUGAUAAGGCUGGAACUGAUUCUUAUUGUCAAUGGAAAAUUGUACUUAGUAGUCAGUAUAAGCUUUUAAUGAUAUAAGUUUGCAUAUGAUAGAAUACUGUAUGUUGACCUUUUGAUGACUUAGACUGUUGUCCACUACAAGACUGUUUUAUAAAUUCUUUCUCACAGCGAUAAUAGCUGAACAAGCAGGAAGAGGAGAGCUGGACACUUUUAUCUGCGCUCUCUAACAAGAAGAGGGGCCGCGUCCUUCUGAAUCUCACAACACACACGCAUACAUCUGAACCACUCUUAUCUUCACUCCCUACGCACUAACAUUCCUCUGCCUAUGAAUAGACGUAUUCACUGUUGUAUUACUUUUGUAUAUAAAUAAAGACAAGUGCAAGAACAGAGCGCGCAUCACAGGGCCCCCACUCUGGUGUGAGCGUUCUGUAACUGCCCUUGUAUACAAGUGAAAAACACAGCGUCUGUGUGUGUUUCUACCCUUACACUCUUAGCUGAAGAAGUGUCUUUAGAAUAAAUCUCUUGACAUUUAUUUUGGUCCUUCGAGCCGGAUCAGAAAUAUCAGAACUGUUAUCUGUGACUCUGUUCCAGGAUCUGGCAUACUGUUUCCUGACGCCGUGGAGCCAGCACCGAAGUCUGUGCACAGCCCUCUUAGACGAGGAGGACCCGGGACGUUCGAGUCCGGGCCGGUCUGGUCCACGGCGGUGGGAUUCAGUCUGACGAUCUGAACCACCAGUGAGACGUCUGAGGGUGAGAAACACUAUUUUGAUAUAUAAAACGGCCGCAAAGGUUUAAAGAAACGUGAUAAAUUAGGUUUAAGUUCGCCAAAAAGAACUAAGUUUAGACUGGUUUUAGAGGUAGCCAUUAAGUACUUCGUCAUAAAUUAGGUUUAAGUUCGCCAAAAGGAACUGUGUUUAGACCGGUUUUAGAGGCUGCUUUGCCGGUCCUGAAAGCCGAGGCUGACCUGGACUCCUGCUCUCCCCUCUACCAUCUCUGACCCUGACCCUGACCAAAUACUGCAGCAGCUGGACCCAUAACAACAAUCUAAAAAUGUCAACAGUGCUACAGGAAAGCGAUCUCAUGCAGCAGCAGAGACGGAGAGCGUUAAAUCCAAGGCCCGUUUCACUACACGGGGGAGAUUUCCAGACAGCUUCAGCUGACAGAGCUGUGACGAGACGCCCAUUAAGCCCGGAUGAAAAGUAAGGCCGAGCAAAAGAAUGCGGAUCUUGAUAACUCUGCAUUAACACUGUGCAGGACAGUGACGGACCAACAUGGAUGAUCGGGCAGCAGAAGAAAGGGCGUGCCAGAGACAGGAGGAGCAACUGAGGUCAAAAGGCACCUCAGAAUGGACAAAACACAGAAGAAGAUGCAGGUUUCACCUGCGGUGAGCAUGGACACUGGAGAAAGGACUGCCCCAAUUGGGGCCAGGACCAGGACAGACUGAACUUUGAGCAGCAGCAGCAAUGGUCGCAACCGGACUGAAAAGGAGGAGGGCAGGACCCCAGGGCACGCUUCAGGCCGUGGUUUACCCAAAACACCAGAACAGGAAAGUGAUAAACACGCAAACAUACACAAACAUACACAUCUACACACACUGACUCAGAAUGAAGAGAAACACACACCUGAACAGACGUGCACUUGUUGAUUGAGUGAGAAAUGACACACACACACAUCAGACAAUGUACACUCAUCAAACAUGACUGAUGCCCUGAACGCCUUGAGACAGAUCCAGCAGGCCCAAAAUCAGGACUAUGUAAGUAAUACACGUGACUGGUUUUCUUGGCUUUACACUGGCUCCUGGCUACAGCUGCUAAAAAGACUACUACUGCCUUUUCACUGUGCAAUACGUUUUGUUAAAAACCAACGGUGCAAUAGACUUCAAUACUUGAAAUACUUGAAAUACUUGCAAUUCCUUUGUAUUCUUAUUCUUAUUUAUUCUAUUUAUCCCUUUUUGUAUUUUUACUUUUAUUUUGUGUCUUUGUAACAUGUAUACUGCCAUGUCUGAAACUCAUGAUUAACCGCAUAAUUGUUUCCACUGUUGCUGCAUACAUAGCCGUGACAAAUGAUGAUGAUGAUGAUGACCCCGACCUGUUGGAGCAUGAAGACUUUGUGUGAUUAAUGAUGGUGUGAUAGAAACUGUACAACAAGAUGUUACAUACUGAUAUCUCACUUGAAAGUUAUACUGACAACAGGAGGGAAUGUCAAUGGAAAAUUGUACUUAGUAGUCAGUAUAAGCUUUUAAUGAUAUAAGUUUGCAUAUGAUAGAAUACUGUAUGUUGACCUUUUGAUGACUUAGACUGUUGUCCACUACAAGACUGUUUUAUAAAUUCUUUCUCACAGCGAUAAUAGCUGAACAAGCAGGAAGAGGAGAGCUGGACACUUUUAUCUGUGCUCUCUAACAAGAAGAGGGGCCGCGUCCUUCUGAAUCUCACAACACACACGCAUACAUCUGAACCACUCUUAUCUUCACUCCCUACGCACUAACAUUCCUCUGCCUAUGAAUAGACGUAUUCACUGUUGUAUUACUUUUGUAUAUAAAUAAAGACAAGUGCAAGAACAGAGCGCGCAUCACAGGGCCCCCACUCUGGUGUGAGCGUUCUGUGACCGCCCUUGUAUACAAGUGAAAAACACAGCGUCUGUGUGUGUUUCUACCCUUAGACUCUUAGCUGAAGAAGUGUCUUUAGAAUAAAUCUCUUGACACUUAUAUAGCACAUUUCUACUCAUGCGCAGCACUCAAAGUGCUUUAUAUACACGCCGCAUUCACACAGGUACUUUCUUCUAUGUUUUAAGUGCUUUCUAUCACAAACAUUCAAACUCCAGUUGAUGCAUCGCAGAGCAAUUUGGGGUUAGUAUGUUGCCCAAGGAUAUUUGGCAUGCAGACUGGGGCAGUUAGGGAUCAAACCACCAACCUUCUGAUCAAUAGAUGACUUGCAGUACCUCCAGAGCUACAGCCAGUCAGCAGACUUGAUUGCGUGGGUUGUGCCCAAUGAAAACACCUGAUUUGUCAAUGCCAAACAACAUAUUCUGCUAUUGACCCUUGCUUUAAGCUUUUGGUACCCCAUGUGCUGACAAUCAGAUGCUUGAUUGGUGCCUGAUUAGAAGUACCUCUUAGCAUAGACCCUACUACAGCAGUCAGUCGGUAACUUCUCCUAGUAUUGCCGGCCUGACUGAUCUGGAUGGGACCUGUGACUUAUGGCAAUUUUAGGUUGGUGUCCCACAAAACCAAGUUGUAGUGUUAUUUGAUGUGACCCCUGUACCAUCUCCAAAUUAAACGCCGAGUUCCCUAUAACAAGGCACGUGACAGACAGCUCGUGAAGUUUCUGUCCACAUAUUAUUUUUUUUCACAGCCUAACAAACGUUAACAUUAAUCCUCUAUCCUGUGACCCAUUUUUCAGCCGUCACCAUAUUCAUGCUUUUUUUUUUUUAUCUUAACAAAGGCGACAUCAUAAAUGCCACAAAAGUGCACCUCAAAGUCCAAAGAGCAGAAUUUCACAAUGUUUUGUGCACAUUAUUUGAUUAAAAAUCCAAAUUGGUGCUUGUGGGUGUGUUCUAGUCAAUAUCACCAUUCAUUUACAAUUUAACGUCUCGUGAUGUCUUGUGCUGAACUGGCCAUGGACCUACCUAGAGAUGGAAAGCUUAGCUUCUUAACUACAAGAAUAUUCAAAUGAGCGACUACUGGUGCUGAAAAUUUGGCAAAAAGCAUCCGUGUGAUGAGAGUUAAUGACUGAAAUGGAGACUUCAUUCAAGGAAAUGAAGAAGUUUAAAUAAAGAUUAGUUUGAACUUUCAAAGAUUCACAUAUAUUUUAGUGACGAGAGCAUUUCAUACAUUAGUUCAUGCUUUCAAAAUAUUUUCUACAGUAAAAAUACUGAUUGAAGUAUAAUCAGUGACUUUGCAUCUGUAUUUACCAUCUUUUCCUUUGCACACAGGCUGCUAACAGAAACAUGAUAUUAAAGCUGUAGAUUUAAUUGUUACCAGCUAUAAGUGUUUAUUAACAUGUUCAUCAUAUAACAUUGUGUUAAUAAUGUAAAACACUGUAAGUCUGUGUAUAAUAUAAAUGAACAUUUUACUGUAGCAUUGCUGUAGAUAAAUACAGCGUACUCACAAGGAAAAAACAGCGGUUUACUUUCUAGAAAUGUGUUGGAUAAUCCUUUUUCAUCUUAGCUGUAAGAUUUGCUACUUUGCUAAAAAGUUUAUUAAAUGCUUACAGAGAUUUGUGUGAUAGCAACAUGUGCUUAUGUAGGAUUGUGAUGCAUUAUUUCAUUCAUUUUAGCUCAGUGAUUUUGGUGCUUUUUCACAAAUCCAUUUUAUUUUGGUCUCACAUGGAAGAUCGUUCCAGCUCUAGUAGAAGUUUGCUUUGGGAUACAACGCUGCACAGUCCUCAUUGUUUUCAUCAUUUGGCUCUCCAUCGUUCCAGUACCUGAAGCAAAUGACAAGUUACACUGCAUUUCUUUUCACACAGUCAUUAUUGUCAUUAUUCACCUUUUAUCUUAUUCAUGUAAUUUAUCCUUCAGGAGUAACUGUUAAGUGACCAUUUUCUACAAACACAACUGCUGAUUUACACACGUUUCACAGUGUGCAUUCGUUUAAUCAGGAUUCCUGCUGACAUUUUUUGUUAUUUAUGUUUUAAAUAACAUGGUUCUCUUAAAAUAAAUUGUGUUAACUUAACAGAAC